rnacentral:rRNA from 1 species
AGAGUUUGAUCCUGGCUCAGAACGAACGCUGGCGGCAGGCUUAACACAUGCAAGUUGAACGGGAACAUACGAUAGCUUGCUAUAGUAUGUGAGAGUGGCGCACGGGUGAGUAAUACAUGGGAACAUACCUUGAAGUGGGGGAUAACUUCUGGAAACGGAUGCUAAUACCGCAUAUACCCUGAGGGGGAAAGAUUUAUCGCUUUAAGAUUGGCCCAUGGCAGAUUAGGUAGUUGGUGGGGUAAAGGCCUACCAAGCCGACGAUCUGUAGCUGGUCUGAGAGGACGAUCAGCCACAUUGGGACUGAGACACGGCCCAGACUCCUACGGGAGGCAGCAGUGAGGAAUAUUGGGCAAUGGGGGCAACCCUGACCCAGCCAUGCCGCGUGAGUGAAGAAGGUUUUCGAAUUGUAAAGCUCUUUCGGAUGUGACGAUGAUGACGGUAGCAUCUAAAGAAGCCCCGGCUAACUUCGUGCCAGCAGCCGCGGUAAUACGAAGGGGGCGAGCGUUGUUCGGAAUUACUGGGCGUAAAGGGUGUGUAGGCGGUUAUGUAAGAUAGCGGUGAAAUCCCGGGGCUUAACCUCGGAAUAGCCGUUAUAACUAUGUAGCUAGAGUUAUGGAGAGGAUAGCGGAAUACCCAGUGUAGAGGUGAAAUUCGUAGAUAUUGGGUAGAACACCGGUGGCGAAGGCGGCUAUCUGGCCAUAUACUGACGCUGAGGCACGAAAGCAUGGGGAUCAAACAGGAUUAGAUACCCUGGUAGUCCAUGCUGUAAACGAUGAAUGCUGGUUGUCGGCUUUAGGGUCGGUGACGAAGUUAACGCGAUAAGCAUUCCGCCUGGGGAGUACGGUCGCAAGAUUAAAACUCAAAGGAAUUGACGGGGACCCGCACAAGCGGUGGAGCAUGUGGUUUAA